rnacentral:rRNA from 1 species
GGGUUGUGAGGUUAAGCGACUAAGCGUACACGGUGGAUGCCCUGGCAGUCAGAGGCGAUGAAGGACGUGCUAAUCUGCGAUAAGCGUCGGUAAGGUGAUAUGAACCGUUAUAACCGGCGAUUUCCGAAUGGGGAAACCCAGUGUGUUUCGACACACUAUCAUUAACUGAAUCCAUAGGUUAAUGAGGCGAACCGGGGGAACUGAAACAUCUAAGUACCCCGAGGAAAAGAAAUCAACCGAGAUUCCCCCAGUAGCGGCGAGCGAACGGGGAGGAGCCCAGAGUCUGAAUCAGUGUGUGUGUUAGUGGAAGCGUCUGGAAAGGCGCGCGAUACAGGGUGACAGCCCCGUACACAAAAAUGCACAUACUGUGAGCUCGAUGAGUAGGGCGGGACACGUGGUAUCCUGUCUGAAUAUGGGGGGACCAUCCUCCAAGGCUAAAUACUCCUGACUGACCGAUAGUGAACCAGUACCGUGAGGGAAAGGCGAAAAGAACCCCGGCGAGGGGAGUGAAAAAGAACCUGAAACCGUGUACGUACAAGCAGUGGGAGCCUCUUUUAUGGGGUGACUGCGUACCUUUUGUAUAAUGGGUCAGCGACUUAUAUUCUGUAGCAAGGUUAACCGAAUAGGGGAGCCGAAGGGAAACCGAGUCUUAACUGGGCGUUAAGUUGCAGGGUAUAGACCCGAAACCCGGUGAUCUAGCCAUGGGCAGGUUGAAGGUUGGGUAACACUAACUGGAGGACCGAACCGACUAAUGUUGAAAAAUUAGCGGAUGACUUGUGGCUGGGGGUGAAAGGCCAAUCAAACCGGGAGAUAGCUGGUUCUCCCCGAAAGCUAUUUAGGUAGCGCCUCGUGAAUUCAUCUCCGGGGGUAGAGCACUGUUUCGGCAAGGGGGUCAUCCCGACUUACCAACCCGAUGCAAACUGCGAAUACCGGAGAAUGUUAUCACGGGAGACACACGGCGGGUGCUAACGUCCGUCGUGAAGAGGGAAACAACCCAGACCGCCAGCUAAGGUCCCAAAGUCAUGGUUAAGUGGGAAACGAUGUGGGAAGGCCCAGACAGCCAGGAUGUUGGCUUAGAAGCAGCCAUCAUUUAAAGAAAGCGUAAUAGCUCACUGGUCGAGUCGGCCUGCGCGGAAGAUGUAACGGGGCUAAACCAUGCACCGAAGCUGCGGCAGCGACGCUUAUGCGUUGUUGGGUAGGGGAGCGUUCUGUAAGCCUGUGAAGGUGUGCUGUGAGGCAUGCUGGAGGUAUCAGAAGUGCGAAUGCUGACAUAAGUAACGAUAAAGCGGGUGAAAAGCCCGCUCGCCGGAAGACCAAGGGUUCCUGUCCAACGUUAAUCGGGGCAGGGUGAGUCGACCCCUAAGGCGAGGCCGAAAGGCGUAGUCGAUGGGAAACAGGUUAAUAUUCCUGUACUUGGUGUUACUGCGAAGGGGGGACGGAGAAGGCUAUGUUGGCCGGGCGACGGUUGUCCCGGUUUAAGCGUGUAGGCUGGUUUUCCAGGCAAAUCCGGAAAAUCAAGGCUGAGGCGUGAUGACGAGGCACUACGGUGCUGAAGCAACAAAUGCCCUGCUUCCAGGAAAAGCCUCUAAGCAUCAGGUAACAUCAAAUCGUACCCCAAACCGACACAGGUGGUCAGGUAGAGAAUACCAAGGCGCUUGAGAGAACUCGGGUGAAGGAACUAGGCAAAAUGGUGCCGUAACUUCGGGAGAAGGCACGCUGAUAUGUAGGUGAAGUCCCUUGCGGAUGGAGCUGAAAUCAGUCGAAGAUACCAGCUGGCUGCAACUGUUUAUUAAAAACACAGCACUGUGCAAACACGAAAGUGGACGUAUACGGUGUGACGCCUGCCCGGUGCCGGAAGGUUAAUUGAUGGGGUCAGCGCAAGCGAAGCUCUUGAUCGAAGCCCCGGUAAACGGCGGCCGUAACUAUAACGGUCCUAAGGUAGCGAAAUUCCUUGUCGGGUAAGUUCCGACCUGCACGAAUGGCGUAAUGAUGGCCAGGCUGUCUCCACCCGAGACUCAGUGAAAUUGAACUCGCUGUGAAGAUGCAGUGUACCCGCGGCAAGACGGAAAGACCCCGUGAACCUUUACUAUAGCUUGACACUGAACAUUGAGCCUUGAUGUGUAGGAUAGGUGGGAGGCUUUGAAGUGUGGACGCCAGUCUGCAUGGAGCCGACCUUGAAAUACCACCCUUUAAUGUUUGAUGUUCUAACGUUGGCCCCUAAUCGGGGUUGCGGACAGUGUCUGGUGGGUAGUUUGACUGGGGCGGUCUCCUCCUAAAGAGUAACGGAGGAGCACGAAGGUUGGCUAAUCCUGGUCGGACAUCAGGAGGUUAGUGCAAUGGCAUAAGCCAGCUUGACUGCGAGCGUGACGGCGCGAGCAGGUGCGAAAGCAGGUCAUAGUGAUCCGGUGGUUCUGAAUGGAAGGGCCAUCGCUCAACGGAUAAAAGGUACUCCGGGGAUAACAGGCUGAUACCGCCCAAGAGUUCAUAUCGACGGCGGUGUUUGGCACCUCGAUGUCGGCUCAUCACAUCCUGGGGCUGAAGUAGGUCCCAAGGGUAUGGCUGUUCGCCAUUUAAAGUGGUACGCGAGCUGGGUUUAGAACGUCGUGAGACAGUUCGGUCCCUAUCUGCCGUGGGCGCUGGAGAACUGAGGGGGGCUGCUCCUAGUACGAGAGGACCGGAGUGGACGCAUCACUGGUGUUCGGGUUGUCAUGCCAAUGGCACUGCCCGGUAGCUAAAUGCGGAAGAGAUAAGUGCUGAAAGCAUCUAAGCACGAAACUUGCCCCGAGAUGAGUUCUCCCUGACUCCUUGAGAGUCCUGAAGGAACGUUGAAGACGACGACGUUGAUAGGCCGGGUGUGUAAGCGCAGCGAUGCGUUGAGCUAACCGGUACUAAUGAACCGUGAGGCUUAACCUUACAACGCCGAAG